rnacentral:rRNA from 1 species
AUGAAGUCUGGGGUGUACACGUUCCGGGCGCACGUCACCAUCUACCACAAUGUUCAUUCCUUCGGGCCAACAUCACGUCCAGAUCAUCUACAGUUGUACUUCUACGAUGACGACCCAGGCCUAACCCAUCGCAAGGCUGCGACCGAGCAAUUAGACCAGGAUGUCAUCAGAAAGUUAGUGGACAUACUCAGGGAAAACCCGUACUCCCAACAGUUUAGGAGUUUGGGUGCGCACAGGGACAACCUCGACGAUUACAGGAUAGACCUCAACACUGACCAGAGACUAGACCAACGUAAGUAUAAUAGACCUCUGUCAUCUGAGGUUGCUGCAAUUUGGGUGGAGGGCACUGACCUAGCGAAGAGGUUCGAUCGUAGGAUUACACUUUGCGGGAAUGACAACCAGAGGCACAGUAUACAUGUGACGUCUGGCUCGUAUGACCCGCUCUCUUACCCACUCUUCUACCCAAGGGGGGAGCUCAGUUGGCACCCGAAACUUCCUAAAUGUGAUGUCCCUUGGCCAGUUGUGCAACAACCAAGAGGUAGACGUGAUGAUAAUGAUGAUGAUGAGGAGGAUGCAGGUAAGGCUUAUGCGUAUUCUGUCGUUUAG